UGCAAGUCGAACGAUUAAAGCUCUCUUCGGAGAGUGCAUAAAGUGGCGCACGGGUGAGUAACACGUAAGUAAUCUACCCUCGGGUGGGGAAUAACGUCCGGAAACGGACGCUAAUACCGCAUAAUGCAGCGGCACCAUAUGGUGACAGUUGUUAAAGGAGAAAUUCGCCUGGGGAGGAGCUUGCGGCAGAUUAGCUUGUUGGUAGGGUAACGGCCUACCAAGGCGACGAUCUGUAGCCGGUCUAAGAGGACGGUCGGUCACACUGACACUGAAUAACGGGUCAGACUCCUACGGGAGGCAGCAGUCGGGAAUUUUGGGCAAUGGGCGAAAGCCUGACCCAGCAACGCCGCGUGAAGGAUGAAGUAUUUCGGUAUGUAAACUUCGUAAGAAUGGGAAGAAACAAAUGACGGUACCGGGUGUAAGCCCCGGCUAACUACGUGCCAGCAGCCGCGGUAAUACGUAGGGGGCAAGCGUUGUUCGGAUUUACUGGGCGUAAAGGGCGCGUAGGCGGCGGGACAAGUCACUUGUGAAAUCUCUGAGCUUAACUCAGAACGGCCAAGUGAUACUGUCUUGCUAGAGUGCAGAAGGGGCAAUCGGAAUUCUUGGUGUAGCGGUGAAAUGCGUAGAUAUCAAGAGGAACAUCUGAGGCGAAAGCGGGUUGCUAGGCUGACACUGACGCUGAGGCGCGAAAGCUAGGGGA
rnacentral:rRNA from 1 species